rnacentral:rRNA from 1 species
UACGUAGGAUCCAAGCGUUGUCCGGAUUUACUGGGUAUAAAGGGUGCGUAGGCGGGCUUGUACGUCAGAGGUUAAAUACAUCGGCUCAACCGGUGAACCGCCUUUGAUACGGCAAGUCUUGAGUACGAGAGAGGAUGAUAGAAUUCCUGGUGUAGCGGUGAAAUGCGUAGAUAUCAGGAGGAAUACCAGUGGCGAAGGCGGUCAUCUGGCUCGUAACUGACGCUCAGGCACGAAAGCGUGGGGAG